CUCGAAAUAUUCUAAUUCAAUUCCUAUAAUUAAUUAAAUCUAAUUCUUUAUGAAAAGGAAAACUACACUUACAUCUAUGUUACUGACUAAUCUAUGGUCCAAUAUCCACGAAUUCAAAUGUAGGUUAUGUUUGUCUUUAAAGUUUAUUUCACACCAAAAUGCUCCUUGGAUUCUUGUUCUCUGGAUAUGUUGCUUUCAACUAUUAUUUCUAGGUCUUUCCACCGUUGAAUUGGUUGCUCAGGAUCACAAUGAAUGUUACUUUUAUGAAAGUAAUUCAACAGCCAGUAGUAUACUUCCAAAUAUAUAAAUAUUAUCGUCUUGAUAUGUUAUUGGCCUCAAUAGAUAUUGGAUAUGAAUUUUGAAUAUCAGUAUGAAAAUAUGUACUUCAACUUGAAUAUAUAAGUAAUAUAUCAUAAUGUAUCCUUUUCAAAUGUGAUUUGGAAUUUUAUAUUGAACGUAAUACUUUGAACCAUAACAAUUCCCCUAAAAUUUGUUGAUAUUUGAAUAAAUUAAAAUUAUGCAAAUAGAAA